GAUGAACGCUGGCGGUGUGCCUAAUACAUGCAAGUCGAGCGAACAGACGAGGAGCUUGCUCCUCUGACGUUAGCGGCGGACGGGUGAGUAACACGUGGUUAACCUACCUAUAAGACUGGGAUAACUUCGGGAAACCGGAGCUAAUACCGGAUAAUAUAUUGAACCGCAUGGUUCAAUAGUGAAAGACGGUUUUGCUGUCACUUAUAGAUGGAUCCGCGCCGCAUUAGCUAGUUGGUAAGGUAACGGCUUACCAAGGCAACGAUGCGUAGCCGACCUGAGAGGGUGAUCGGCCACACUGGAACUGAGACACGGUCCAGACUCCUACGGGAGGCAGCAGUAGGGAAUCUUCCGCAAUGGGCGAAAGCCUGACGGAGCAACGCCGCGUGAGUGAUGAAGGUCCUCGGAUCGUAAAACUCUGUUAUUAGGGAAGAACAAAUGUGUAAGUAACUAUGCACGUCUUGACGGUACCUAAUCAGAAAGCCACGGCUAACUACGUG
rnacentral:rRNA from 1 species